rnacentral:rRNA from 1 species
UGUGCCAGCCGCCGCGGUAAUACGUAGGGUGCAAGCGUUGUCCGGAAUUAUUGGGCGUAAAGAGCUCGUAGGCGGUUUGUUGCGUCGGCUGUGAAAACCUGAGGCUCAACCUCAGGCCUGCAGUCGAUACGAGCAGACUAGAGUGUUGCAGGGGAGACUGGAAUUCCUGGUGUAGCGGUGAAAUGCGCAGAUAUCAGGAGGAACACCGGUGGCGAAGGCGGGUCUCUGGGCAACAACUGACGCUGAGGAGCGAAAGCGUGGGGAGCGAACAGGAUUAGAU